CCUCAGGCUCAGCGCGCGAACUUCGGCCGCCGGGGCCAGCCUCCGCACGCUGCUCUCUGAUUGGCUGCCCAGCCCCUCGCGCUUCCGCUCCCCCGGUGGCCGUUGGGAUUUGAAGAAAAGCGCGGGAAAGGCGGUUGGUCUGCCCUUCGCUCGCCGCGGAGACUCGCGUGAUGAGGGCUCCACCAUGUCAUUGGGGAGCACAGGCUGCACAGAGGUGGGAGGCUGCUCUGGGCCCCUGAAACAUACUGUGAAGGGAUUAUUCAGAGGAGGACAUUCUCAAAGGCUGCACAGGAGAAGUUUUAAGAAAGUGGUUGAAGAUAGAAAGCAUUGGGACCACUGACGGCACAUAGCAUGAAGGAAUUCUGCAAUCUAUAUUCUAAUGGUAGCACUGGUUCCUGGAAUCCAGCUCCUAGUCAGACCUGGUUAACUGGAGCUAUUUGCCAACAACUUCUCACAGAGAUGACAGAUAUUUAUUAACAGGUUUGACCCAUGGAGACCAGGUUCUGAUGCACAGUGCUCCAUCCUUGACGCAAGUGAGUAGGCAGUCUGGAUUAAGAUGAAGCAUUGCAUGUUGGGACUUUUAGCCUGUAUCUCUGUAUUAAAG